GUACUCGCUUCAGCAGAACAUAUAUUAAAAUUGGAAUGAUACAGAAAAGAUUAGCAUGGUCACUCCACAAGGAUGACAAGCAAAUUCAUGAAAGGUUUCAUGUUUUU
ensembl:snRNA U6 U6 spliceosomal RNA